rnacentral:rRNA from 1 species
CCCUAGUAACGGCGAGUGAAGCGGGAUGAGCUCAAGCUUAAAAUCUCUGUCACAAAUUUAGUUUGUGCGGCGAAUUGUAGUCUAUGGAGGCGUGGUCAGUGUAGGCACUUGAGAUAAGUUCCUUGAAAGAGGACAGCAUGGAGGGUGAAACUCCCGUUCAUACUUGAGUUGCUUAUGCGUACGACCCGUUUUCUUUGAGUCGCGUUGUUUGAGAAUGCAGCGCAAAGUAGGUGGUAAAUUCCAUCUAAAGCUAAAUAUUGGUGCGAGACCGAUAGCGAACAAGUACCGUGAGGGAAAGAUGAAAAGAACUCUGAAAAGAGAGUUAAAGAGUACCUGAAACUGCUGAAAGGGAACCAGAUCGUUUCUAGUGUCUAUAAUCCGUGUCAUAUCUAAUCGGAGAGUGUGUGCGUGUGUAUACUAUGGCAGCGGCUUUUUUGGCUGCGCUUGGUGUGUGUGCUGUAUGCGCUUACUGGUUGGCCUUGUGAUGCGGUGGGACGUCAAGGUCGGUUUGUAUACUGCGGGAAAUGGCUACUGAGGAGGUAGGGCUUACGCUUGCGUUUGUCUAUUAUAUCUUGGYGGUUUUGUCGUGGUUGAGACUGAGGUGUUCUACAACGUGCUUUUGAGUGGGACUGCGUCUCCGUGUGCACCGUGUGCGGAUAGCUUGCUAUGUGUGUGUGGUUGUGUGUGGAUUGAUGCGGGCUUUAACUUGUAGCCGUUCGGGACGUUGACGAAAUAGAGCGAUUUGACCCGUCUUGAAACACGGACCAAGGAGUCUAACAUAUGUGCAAGUGUUAGGGUGUGGAAACCCAAGCGCGAAAUGAAAGUAAAGGAUAGUGAAAGCUGUCUGAGGUAGGAAAUGUUGCGGACUUCGGUCUGUGAUGUGGCACUMUCGACCGAUCAUGAACCUUCGUGGUGAAAGAUUU